rnacentral:rRNA from 1 species
GAUGAACGCUGGCGGCGUGCCUAAUACAUGCAAGUCGAGCGAACGGACGAGAAGCUUGCUUCUCUGAUGUUAGCGGCGGACGGGUGAGUAACACGUGGAUAACCUACCUAUAAGACUGGGAUAACUUCGGGAAACCGGAGCUAAUACCGGAUAAUAUUUUGAACCGCAUGGUUCAAAAGUGAAAGACGGUCUUGCUGUCACUUAUAGAUGGAUCCGCGCUGCAUUAGCUAGUUGGUAAGGUAACGGCUUACCAAGGCAACGAUGCAUAGCCGACCUGAGAGGGUGAUCGGCCACACUGGAACUGAGACGCGGUCCAGACUCCUACGGGAGGCAGCAGUAGGGAAUCUUCCGCAAUGGGCGAAAGCCUGACGGAGCAACGCCGCGUGAGUGAUGAAGGCCUUCGGAUCGUAAAACUCUGUUAUUAGGGAAGAACAUAUGUGUAAGUAACUGUGCACAUCUUGACGGUACCUAAUCAGAAAGCCACGGCUAACUACGUG